rnacentral:rRNA from 1 species
GAGAAGGUUUUAAAUAGCCCUGCGAGUCAUUGUAGUAAUACAAGGGAGACGGCUCAAUAACGGGUAGACGGCCUACCCUAAGGACGGGGAUAACCUCGGGAAACUGAGAAUAAUACCCGAUAGAACAUAGCUCCUGGAAUGGUUUAUGUUUCAAAUAAUUUAUUGCCCUGGGAUGGGACUGCGGCCUAUCAGUUUGUUGGUGAGGUAAUGGCCCACCAAGACUAUUACAGGUACGGGCUCUGAGAGGAGUGGCCCGGAGAUGGGUACUGAGACACGGACCCAGGCCCUAUGGGGCGCAGCAGGCGAGAAAACUUUGCAAUGUGCGAAAGCACGACAAGGUUAAUCCGAGUGGUUUCUGCUAAAGGAACCUUUUGUCAGUCCUAGAAACACUGAUGAAUAAGGGGUGGGCAAGUUCUGGUGUCAGCCGCCGCGGUAAAACCAGCACCUCAAGUGGUCAGGAUGAUUAUUGGGCCUAAAGCAUCCGUAGCCGGCUUUGUAAGUUUUCGGUUAAAUCCAUGCGCUCAACGUAUGGGCUGCCGGGAAUACUGCAAAGCUAGGGAGUGGGAGAGGUAGACGGUACUCGGUAGGAAGGGGUAAAAUCCUUUGAUCUAUUGAUGACCACCUGUGGCGAAGGCGGUCUACCAGAACACGUCCGACGGUGAGGGAUGAAAGCUGGGGGAGCAAACCGGAUUAGAUACCCGGGUAGUCCCAGCUGUAAACUAUGCAAACUCAGUGAUGCAUUGGCUUGUGGCCAAUGCAGUGCUGCAGGGAAGCCGUUAAGUUUGCCGCCUGGGAAGUACGUACGCAAGUAUGAAACUUAAAGGAAUUGGCGGGGGAGCACCACAAGGGGUGAAGCCUGCGGUUCAAUUGGAGUCAACGCCGGG